rnacentral:rRNA from 1 species
UACGUAGGGCGCAAGCGUUAUCCGGAAUUACUGGGCGUAAAGAGCUCGUAGGUGGUUUGUCGCGUUGUUCGUGAAAACUCACAGCUUAACUGUGGGCGUGCGGGCGAUACGGGCAGACUGGAGUACUGCAGGGGAGACUGGAAUUCCUGGUGUAGCGGUGGAAUGCGCAGAUAUCAGGAGGAACACCGAUAGCGAAGGCAGCUCACUAGACUAACAUUGACGCUCAUGCACGAAAGCGUGGGGAGCGAACAGG